AGUACCUUUUUAUCAUACCAUACGACACAAAUCCUUUUCCCUCUCGCGUCUCCCUCCCCUAAAAUCAAAACCCUAACCUCACCGCAUCGCCACCACCGAUCCCCAAUCUCCACUAAUCGAAGUCCACAAAAGAAAAUGAGUAGACGUGCGAGCAGAACUGUGUACGUUGGGAAUCUACCUGGUGAUAUCCGUGAAAGAGAAGUUGAAGAUUUGUUCAUGAAGUAUGGACACAUUACUCACAUUGACCUAAAAGUUCCCCCAAGACCACCUGGUUAUGCAUUCGUAGAGUUUGAAGAUGCUCAAGAUGCAGAGGAUGCAAUUCGUGGGCGUGAUGGCUAUGAUUUUGAUGGGCACCGGUUACGGGUGGAGCCUGCUCAUGGUGGACGUGGUCAUUCAUCCUCAAGAGAUCGAUAUAGUAGUCACAGCAAUGGGCGGGCUGGACGUGGAGUAUCUAGGCGCUCUGAGUACCGUGUUCUAGUCACUGGAUUGCCUUCUUCUGCAUCGUGGCAGGAUCUUAAGGAUCACAUGCGGAAGGCUGGGGAUGUUUGCUUUUCCCAAGUUUUUCAUGAUGGAAGGGGUACUACUGGUAUUGUGGAUUACACAAAUUAUGAUGAUAUGAAAUAUGCUAUCAAGAAGCUUGAUGACUCUGAGUUCCGAAAUGCAUUUGCCAGGGCUUAUAUUCGCGUUAGGGAAUAUGAUUCAAGGAGGGACUCCUCUAGAAGUCCUAGUCGCGGCCCAUCUCAUUCUAGAGGAAGAAGCUACAGCCGCAGUCGCAGCCGUAGUUACAGUCGUGGUCGAAGCCAAAGCAAAUCUCCAAAGGGUAAAUCUUCACAGCGUUCACCAGCAAAAUCUCCAUCAAGAUCUCCCUCUCGUUCUCGCUCAAGAUCAAGGUCCCGUUCGUUAUCAGGAUAUGGAAACUUGCAGCAUACUGGAAAUUGGAAAUUAGGAACUUGGUGGGAUUUGGUUCAAUUGCCUGCAACUCAUUUGUUGUGGAGAUUGGGAACCAAGGAGAUCAUGGAUUGCCAUUUUAGAGCUGGAUGUCUUGUGUAUUAAAGGCAAUUUGGAUUUGGAAAUCACCACCAAUGAGCAAUAGGGACAAUUUCAUUACAAUUGUGGGCUUCAAGAUUUUCCAAGCCAAUAGGAUGCACUAUCUGGAUUCUCUGGAUUUUGUGGUGCAGUAGGGAAGAUUUCUUUUCUCCAGUCCAUUGGUGUCUUAAUAUUGUACCCUGAGAUAGCCUAAUUUUAUUCACUUUUCAUCAUAUUAUUGUGCAUACAGUCUUACUUUUCCAUUUUUAGCCUUCUCUGUUUGUCUGUUUUAUAUUUUACAAUGCUUGUUUUUACCUCUCUUGGAUAUGUUAACUGUGACAUGGGAGAGGCACCAAGGCUGUUGGAUCAAUUUGAUAAGAGAACUUGAGGAUUUUAAACUCUGUUGUUUGUGGAACUUUUGCAGAUCACGGUCAAGGUCCAGGUCUCCAUUGCCUUCACAUAAUAAAAGCCCCAAAAAGCGCAGUGCAAGCAGGAGCCCAAGUAGGAGUAGGAGCAAGAGUUUGUCCCGGUGAUCUCUGAUUGUUGCAAUUGGAUGAAGUUGUGGAAGAUGGUGAGUGCUACCAAGUUUUUCUAGUGAAUUGACAUUAGUCAAGAAAAACACUUAUUUGGGUUUAUGUUAUUUGAACUCCUUUGAAUUGAACCUGAGAAUUCUGCCCAUUGGCCUUGGUUUUUAUUGAAUGAUUUGACGGACCCUAGUUUUCUGUAAUAGACUGUUGAAUGACAAACUUUAGCUCUUUGGAUCCUUAACGCGGGUUUAUUAU